AAUAGAACAUUCAAAUAAAAACUUUGGCAGAUGAUGUGCGUGACCGACUUACAAGUUUUAGAAAAUCUACCGUCAAAAAAGAAAAACAUCUUAUCCAACACCCUAUUGAUUCUCAAGUCGCGAUGAGUGAAUUCCCAGCGCCUCAGCCAUUAUACGAUGAACGAUCUUUGAAUCUGUCAGAAAAGGAAGUACUGGAUCUCUUUGAAAAAAUGAUGGAGGACAUGAACCUUAACGAAGAACGAAAAGCUCCUUUACGAAACAAAGAUUUUACCACCAAGCACGAGAUGGUUGUCCAGUAUAUUUCUGCUACAGCCAAAUCUAUAGUUGGAAGUAA